rnacentral:rRNA from 1 species
GACGAACGCUGGCGGCGUGCCUAAUACAUGCAAGUUGAGCGCUGAAGCUUGGUACUUGUACCAACUGGAUGAGCAGCGAACGGGUGAGUAACGCGUGGGUAAUCUGCCUUUGAGCGGGGGACAACAUUUGGAAACGAAUGCUAAUACCGCAUAAAAACUUUAAACACAAGUUUUAAGUUUGAAAGAUGCAAUUGCAUCACUCAAAGAUGAUCCCGCGUUGUAUUAGCUAGUUGGGGAGGGAAAGGCUCACCCAGGCGAUGAUACAUAGCCGACCUGAGAGGGUGAUCGGCCACAUUGGGACUGAGACACGGCCCAAACUCCUACGGGAGGGAGCAGUAGGGAAUCCUCGGCAAUGGACGAAAGUCUGACCGGGCAACGCCGCGGGAGUGAAGAAGGUUUUCGGAUCGUAAAACUCUGUUGGUAGAGAAGAACGUUGGUGAGAGUGGAAAGCUCAUCAAGUGACGGUAACUACCCAGAAAGGGACGGCUAACUACGUG